rnacentral:rRNA from 1 species
GUCCACGCCGUAAACGAUGGGUACUAGGUGUGGGGGGUGUCGACUCCCUCCGUGCCGAAGCUAACGCAUUAAGUACCCCGCCUGGGGAGUACGGCCGCAAGGCUAAAACUCAAAGGAAUUGACGGGGGCCCGCACAAGCAGCGGAGCAUGUGGUUUAAUUCGAAGCAACGCGAAGAACCUUACCUGGGCUUGACAUGUGCCUGACCGCCGUGGAAACACGGCUUCCCUUCGGGGCAGGUUCACAGGUGGUGCAUGGCUGUCGU